UGGGAGAUCUUCUAACGGUCGGAAGGUGCACUUUGACUGCAUUAAUCAGGGUUCGAAUCCUUGUCUCCCAGCCA
rnacentral:tRNA from 1 species